GAUGAACGCUGGCGGCGUGCCUAACACAUUCAAGUCGAACGGAGUUAUUACGAAUGAAGUUUUCGGAUGGAUUUUGUUUUAACUUAGUGGCGAACGGGUGAGUAACACGUGAGCAACCUGCCCUUGAGUGGGGGACAACAGUUGGAAACGACUGCUAAUACCGCAUAAUAUCACGAGGAGGCAUCUCCUUGUGAUCAAAGAUUUAUUGCUUAAGGAUGGGCUCGCGUCCGAUUAGAUAGUUGGUGAGGUAACGGCUCACCAAGUCGACGAUCGGUAGCCGGACUGAGAGGUUGAUCGGCCACAUUGGGACUGAGACACGGCCCAGACUCCUACGGGAGGCAGCAGUGGGGAAUAUUGGGCAAUGGGGGAAACCCUGACCCAGCAACGCCGCGUGAAGGAAGAAGGCUUUCGGGUUGUAAACUUCUUUACCAGGGACGAAGAACGUGACGGUACCUGGAGAAAAAGCAACGGCUAACUACGUG
rnacentral:rRNA from 1 species